rnacentral:lncRNA from 1 species
GGAGGAAAGGAGAGUCUAUUCCCAAGCAUCCUACCCCUCGAGGGACUCCACAUCCCCAACCGGUACAAGCAGAAGAAGUGGAGUGAGUCACUGGUCAUGCAUUCUGUUAUCAUCCAUGUUUGCAUCUGUUUUUCUUGCAAGCCUCCACUUCCCCUCUAAAUCAGUCAUUUAUAUCCUCAUCUAAAUUAUGUAAAAACACUGUUGUAAGUUAAAGACUGCUUGCAAGAGCAAAAGCCAGCUUCACCUACGCACCCUGCUCUCGAUUCUAUUUCUUGGAUGGGCCAUGCUCAUUUCUUGUCAUAUGUGUUUGAGUACACUAGCCAGGGUUAGUGGUGCUUGCUGCUGUAACCAAAAACAUCCGAAUAAUGGCAGCCCAGUGGCAGGGUCUUGGUUCUCCUCAGAGAAGGCCUGCAGGAAGAGAGUGGUUGCUGGCCACUCAUGUGGGGACUCAGUCAUGCUUCUGUUGAUGUUCUGUGUACUAUCUUCAUCCCGGGCUUUCAAGUCUUCUCUGGAAGAAGAGGAAACGGGGUUGGUGUGCUGAAAUGUGGGAGAGGCUUUAUGCUGGAGCAAGAUGCACUCUCAGUUCUCUCAGCUCUCACAGACCGCAAGAAAGAGCCCAGCACAAAAGGGCAGGCUAUUGCGGAGAACUAGGAGCAUGGAGUUUAGCUGAGGUCCCAAGAAGGGCCAGAGAAGCACAGCGCAUUGCCCUUACCACUGUGGGACUGAAGACCUGGGAUAUCUUUCACAAGGCAUUUGAAGAGCCAAAUGUCAGAUAAGUAGAUCUGCAGACCCUGUGUGCUGAAGCCGUGGGUUCUAGACAUCCCCUGGAGGGUUUCCUAAUGUGUUAGCUGUCAUGCUUCCCCAGGUCUCAGCAGGCAAGCGGCCUCUGGCUAAGUGCCACUAAACCUCUCCUAAGAUGUUCUUUUCUUAGAUCUGGGUCUGAGUGAGUGGGACCCCAUCCUCUAGUAACGUCACCAUUACUGCCAAAGGGAGGGCUGGGGCGGGGGAAAGAGCAGAUGGAUCUCCUGUGCCCAUCCCUGCUCCGGCCUGACCGCUGCUGUGCUCACCCCCUCCCUGCCUGACCGCUGCUCUUUCACCACAUUUUUUAAAACAUCCCUCUGAGUGUCAGGCACCAGAGGCACCUUGGGAGCCUCGCUGGGCUGCAGCGCAGGGAGCAUCGCUGGGCAGCCGGCACGCGCUAACUGGAUAUGCUCAGGUCUGUCUGGAUCGCCUCUGAAACAUUACUAACUUCAGAUCUUGAUUUUUUUCCUUAGAAGUGAAGCCAAGUUAUGAAGCCAGCAUUCCUGUCAAUCCUAAUCCCCGACUCCAUCUUCAUCCAUGGAUUGUCCAGGACACGGUGGUGGCACUGGCUGGAUCCUUGUGAGGAUUGCAUGACACCUCAAUGGUGGGAGCAGAUAGCAAGGAGGAGAAAUGAUGAGGUAAGGCUGGAAGCUGGAUGUGAGCCGGUGAGACCGGAAGCUGGAUAUGAGAUGGUGAGACCGGAAGCUGCAUGCGGUCAGGUAGGGGAGCAGGAUUGCCCUCUAUUGUGGUAAGAGCCACUUACGGUCCCCUCCCCCCACCAGUGCUACUUCCCAUUGUAUUCCAUGUCCUACACAUGAUCUUUGACAAGAUCCUAGGGCUUGUCAAACCACCAGUACCCAACAUAUGAGCCCUUGGGGAGGAUGCUCAGAUCCUAUCCAAACCACGGCCCGUGCUCUCCACUUGCAUCUCGCUCUUGGAACAGCAGCCCUUCUCUUCAGCCCCUUCAGCCAUCUCAUUCCUUCAAUCUCCUUUACUGUCUGCUUGUUUCCUUGAGAGCUCACAUUGCAGCUCACUCUUCCAGGGACCAGAGUCUUCCCCGGCGAUGCUAAAUUUGGACUCUACUGCUCUGCCUUCGUAUCUCUGUGAAUAAGUCGUGUGAUUUUUUUUUGUCUCAAUCUUUCAAAAGGCUUUGCAAUAAUGAUUCAACUCAGUGUAUGUGGUAUCAAUGGAGCAUACAAACUCACCAUGGAGUUCACGCGUGUCCAAGCAAUUAGGAGGCUAACCACCCUGUGAAAAACACAUAUCCCAGAGGCAACGAAAUUAGCAUCUAGGCGGCAGCAUCUUUAUAAUGAAGAUUUAAUCUGAUCUUUUCGAAGACGAUAUAAGCAGUCUGCA